CAAUAGCGUAUAUUAAAGUUGUUGCGGUUAAAAAGCUCGUAGUUGGAUUUCUGUUGAGAGCGACCGGUCCAUACCAUGUAUGCGUAUCUGGCUUGCUCUCGGCAUCCUCUCGAUAGACGUUACUGCGCUUGAUUGCGUGGUGCGGAUCUCGGGACUUUUACUUUGAGGAAAUUAGAGUGUUCACGGCAGGCUUUCGCCAGAAUACAUUAGCAUGGAAUAAUACUAUAGGAUCUUGGUUCUAUUUUGUUGGUUUCUAGAAUUGAGAUAAUGAUUAAUAGGGACAAUUGGGGGCAUUCGUAUCAACACGUCAGAGGUGGAAUUCUUGGAUUGUGUUGCGACGAACUACUGCGAAAGCAUUUGCCAAGGAUGUUUUCAUUGA
rnacentral:rRNA from 1 species